GUACUAGCUACGGCGGUACAGAUUCUAAAACUGGAAGGAUACAGAGAAGAUUAGCAUGGCCCCAGCACAAGGAUGACGCGCAAAUUUGUGAAGCGUUCCAUAUUUCA